GGGGAUGUAGCUCAAAUGGUAGAGCGCUCGCUUCGCAUGCGAGAGGUACGGGUAUUGAUAACCCGCAUCUCCA
rfam:Ipomoea nil DNA, scaffold: scaffold1317, cultivar: Tokyo-kokei standard.